CAGCAGCAGACCUUGGUGUUUUCAUUUGUUUCUCUGCGUCUUCCAUCCAGGAAUGCUUGUGCAAUAGUACCUGAGCAAGAUAUCCUGUAAUAUGAUGUAAAAUCCUGGUUUAAUCAAUGAUGAGACACUGCUCAUGUGACCCUACCAGAGCACAUCCAUCUUGAUGGCUUGCCAGCUGUUCUCGGAGCACACUGAUUACUCAUCCCUCUGUAAUUACCUCAGCUGACUACAGGGCAUAUAUCUACACCACAAUUCCCCAUUCAGCUGAUCCAAUCCACUGGCAAAACCAUACAUGUUAAAAAUCACAGACUUGCCGUUUUCGAUCACUUUUGGGUUAGAAUCAGCGAAUUGAAGAUUUCCAACAUGUUGGAUUUCCCCAGUCCUCUGACCCAGGCAUCAGCAGAAGAAAAAUUGCCCUGAUAGCUGCCUUAUGUAUUGGACCUUUUACAUCUGAUAGAUUGGCUGGAAAUAUGUUUCAUUGUAUAGCCAACAUAGGAUUGUAUGGACUUUCUCCAAGGCAGUAAGUACAAAGCAUAGAUGGUUGCUUUACUGUUUCUCUGCAAUAAACACAAAUCAUGGAACGCAUUCUCUUCUCCCAACCUACACUACUGUGUGCAGAACUGGCUUGUCCUACUUAAUACUCUAAUGUCCAGUGAUGACUAAUUAUUUGUUGUAUUGUAUAUUUUCCAAAGACAAAAAGCAGCUUGUAAUUGGUAAUAAAACAUGUGUUCACUUG